rnacentral:lncRNA from 1 species
GGAGAAAGUUAAUGCUAAUAUAACAAUAAACAAUGAGUGGAAGUCAUAGGAUGUACCUCAAACCGUAGCAAUUAGAUACAAGAUCAUUUUUACAAGGUAAAAAGUAUAAAAUUGAGGUGACUCCCCGAGGCUAUUGAACACUUAUUAAUGGUUUGCUAUUGAACACUUAUUCAUGUAACAAUGAGUUUAUUUUUGACAAGUCGUCUCCCCAUAUAUUUGUAUAAAAAAAACUAUCACAUUCAUGCACUUUAUUAUAAAGUAUUUGUUAUAUGAAGUAAACCAUCAUCAUAUCAUUGUUGCUUUCCAUUUUCACACAUGUGGAUACAUGAAUUAAUUAAACUACUUCAUAUAUAUUCACGUGCUCUCAUCAUUCAAUUGUUAAUGCAUGAAUAUAAAAAUUCUUGUUAUUACUCUACGUGUAUGAAGUCAAUAAUGUGUUAGGAGAACAUCAUUUGGUCACAUGAUCUUUGUACUCAAAAUAUAUUACUAGAGAGAAAUAUAUAUUGUUGGGUUUUUUUUAUACCCAAUAAAUUCCGAGCUAUGAUAUUAACGUGGGAUAAUAUAUUUCAUAAGCCAAGGCCGAUAAAUGAAAUAAGUUCAACAAUCAAGUCCAUAGACUCUACCCGACCCAAUUGUAUUCCCUCUUAAAUAAUUUAAAUCUUGGUCAGUUUAGCUUUCUUAUAGGUCCAACUUAAAACCUAAUCCUAUUCUAUUUAUAAGGUUAUAACCCUAGCCACUUUCUUGUAUGAUUUGUGUGUGUGAAGAAGAGAACUUGGCUGCCCCUUUUGAAGAGAGAAACCGGCCUCCUUUGUGUGUCCAAAAACUGGUUGAUUUAAACUUUGUGUUUUGUGGUCUCUUCAUAGCCUACCUUUGUGA